UGUGUGUGUGUGAUGAACAUCCAGGUUGUACAUGUUUUCAUGUUAACCCGACAUGUGUGUGUUGCACGUGUGUGCUUUCAUCAUGGCGACCGUCGGCGCUGUCUCCGCCGCUGACGGACUGAGCGGACUCUUAGUGAACUGUACCAAACCUUUUGAAAUCAUCGCGCGCGACAUCGACGACCCUGGGGUUUAUGUACAAUGUCGCUUCUAUGUACCUCACGUGGAACAGUGUCCCAAGUACCAGGUUCUUAGCUUGAAACACAAGCGAUGCAUAUUCCCAGAUAGUCUUAUCAAGCCGUGCAAACCGCCCACUGUACAAGUACCUGCUGGACCGGAUUCCUGGAUCGGACGAGAGCCAGCAUAUUGACAGUACCGGAACCACACGUGGACCACGUCAUGUCCCUGUUGUUCCUGACUUUACACUUUUGUCUGUGUUGUUUGAAUGACAGUAAACAGUUUAUAUAAGCUGUAAAA